rnacentral:tRNA from 1 species
GCGCCCGUAGUUCAGUGGAUAGAACGCAACGUUGCGGACGUUGAGGUCAGGGGUUCGAGUCCCUUCGGGCGCGCCA